rnacentral:lncRNA from 1 species
AUUAAUCCUGAGAGAGAACUGGAAACCAGAUAAACAGAACCUCCACAACAAGCGACGGUGCUGACUGGGGUGGAAGAGGCAGAAAUAUCCUUCUGGAGAGGAAAUAAGCCACAUUCUGGCUGUGGCACUUCACAGCUAGGAGCAAUCUUAAGAAAUACUACAAAGGUGAUAUUUUCUUCUCAGGACAUCAUGUCAGGAGGCACAUAGUAUCAAUUUAUACCAUUACUGAAGGUGUUAACUUUGGUUGCUUGAUUAAGAUUGCCAAUUCCUCAGUAUAAAGGUUCUAUCAUUUGCAUUCCCACCAGCAAUGAAAGAGAGUGCCUCACAGCCUUGCCAGCAGAAUGUGUUGCCAAGAUUUUUAAUUUUUUGCCAAUCCAAUAGAAGAGAAAUGGUGUCUCAGGUUCUGCCCACCGUUUCCACAGCUGGAGCCGUUUUCAAGGAUGCAGCCUCGAGAGAGCAAUGUGUUGCUGAGACUGUCUGGCCGCCUUAUGUGACUGAACCCCAUAAAGGUUUCUACACAAAUUUUGGAGAUUCUGGCGGUCAGGUGUGAUCUCCUCUUGCGGCUGCCCAAGACAAGCCUCCUAAGUGAGUUCCCUUGUUUAUUAAACGUGCCACCUACCAAUCUGAGUGGACUGACUCUUCCUUCGUUCUCUCCUUGCCCUCCAUGUAGCAGGGCCAGUUUCAAAUUCCAGAGGAACUCCCCAGGUUGCGAACCAACAGCCCCUUCUCUCUCCUCCC